UCGGGAAUUUUGGGCAAUGGGCGAAAGCCUGACCCAGCAACGCCGCGUGAAGGAUGAAGUAUUUCGGUAUGUAAACUUCGAAAGAAUAGGAAGAAUAAAUGACGGUACUAUUUAUAAGGUCCGGCUAACUACGUGCCAGCAGCCGCGGUAAUGCGUAGGGACCAAGCGUUGUUCGGAUUUACUGGGCGUAAAGGGUGCGUAGGUUGUUUGAUAAGAUAUAUGUGAAAUACCUGGGCUCAACCUGGGAAGGUCAUAUAAGACUGUCAGACUCGAGUAUGGGAGAGGGUAGAGGAAUUUCCGGUGUAGCGGUGAAAUGCGUAGAUAUCGGAAGGAACAUCGGUGGCGAAGGCGUCUACCUGGCCUAAUACUGACACUGAGGCACGAAAGCGUGGGGAGCAAACAGGAUUAGAUACCCAUGUAGUCCCUGAGCGGGCUGGCAAGGCGCAU
rnacentral:rRNA from 1 species